AUCCGGUCGCUCGCUAUCGGUGCUCGUUGGGCUGCUGUCCCACGGGCUGAAAAGGGAACCCGGUGUGAAUCCGGGACUGCCCCGCAGCGGUAAUCGAGAACGAAAGUCAUCACGAAGCACUGGGCGCCUGCGCCUGGGAAGCGAUGACCGGUAGGAAAGCGAUCGGUGACGAUCGCAGCGCUCGUGAGUCCGAAGACCUGCCGAGAGCGCGCCCGCCCG
rnacentral:ncRNA from 2 species